ACAUCAACAUCAACAUCAUGGUUCCUCUUAAACCCUGGAAAAUUCCUAGAAUUCGCUUUCUUGCCUGCGAUGGGUAGCAAAUGGCGGGUGGGGAUUUGUGUUUAUUUGCGACGAUCUUCUCAAGCCAUAUUAUUAGUAGUUCUUAAAAAGCUUUCUUGGGUAGUCU